AUUGAACGCUGGCGGCAGGCCUAACACAUGCAAGUCGAGCGGAUGAAGGGAGCUUGCUCCUGGAUUCAGCGGCGGACGGGUGAGCAAUGCCUAGGAAUCUGCCUGGUAGUGGGGGAUAACGUCCGGAAACGGGCGCUAAUACCGCAUACGUCCUGAGGGAGAAAGUGGGGGAUCUUCGGACCUCACGCUAUCAGAUGAGCCUAGGUCGGAUUAGCUAGUUGGUGGGGUAAAGGCCUACCAAGGCGACGAUCCGUAACUGGUCUGAGAGGAUGAUCAGUCACACUGGAACUGAGACACGGUCCAGACUCCUAAGGGAGGCAGCAGUGGGGAAUAUUGGACAAUGGGCGAAAGCCUGAUCCAGCCAUGCCGCGUGUGUGAAGAAGGUCUUCGGAUUGUAAAGCACUUUAAGUUGGGAGGAAGGGCAGUAAGUUAAUACCUUGCUGUUUUGACGUUACCAACAGAAUAAGCACCGGCUAACUUCGUG
rnacentral:rRNA from 1 species